GGUGAAAGUGGCCGUUGAAAAGAGGUUAGCCGCUUAAAAGAGCUAGCCUAAUAUAUUACUAUAGUAAGAUGGAUAUUUUGGGAACAGGUGAGUUGGCCGUUAAUAGACUUUGGCCGCUCAAUGGGGAGUGGAGAUGCCCCAACAUCGCAAGAGAACCCUCAAAAUAGCCAUCCACGCUUGAAAUUCGAUAACUCAUGAAGGAUGUUUGUUUGAAAAUAUCUUAUUUACUCGUCUCUAUUGACCGACGGAAACCGAUGCUUUGCCUGACUCGGUAUUGUUCGGGAGCGUAAAAUGGCGGCCUUCUUUAUUAGUGGUGGAGCAUAAUGAAGAAAAUCAAAGCAAGAAGACUCAAAGCCAUACAACAAAAGAAAACGAAUCGCUGGAGACUUGCGAAAAUUGUUAGACUAGGUACCAUCGAUCCGAAAGAUAUCGAGAAGACUGCGUCCAGCUGCCUAUUGUCUUAUUUGACCCUCAAUAGAGGCCAAUGCGAUUAAUUAGGACACUAGCUGAAUCUCACUGAGGAAAACUGAGGAAAUAUGCACACUCCCUGAUAAAAUAAUCACACAACAAAAUCAAGGUGCAUCAGCUUGUAGAAUCUCUAUUGGCAAGCGCAGAACAUGGGACAAUGCCCUCAGCUGAAACCAAGAAACAAGGAUAUGUAGGCCAACUGGACACCUAACUUAUCACAACUCAAACUUACCUCUAUUCUAUUGGCUCUACUAGUGACUAUUAGAUGUAAUUCAAUUACUGGAAAAAAAAUACUUACCUCAAGCUGUCCGCCCCAGACAGAAGUCUCAGCUAUAUCCUCACAGUAUUUUGAAAAUUGCUCUGCAACACAAAAAAGCAAAAUAACCACUGAAUGACAAGAAAAAUGUGCUUCUUUUGAAUACAUAUUGUAGACUGUUUGUUUAACAGGCUAAAAGACUUGUGUUGCUCAGUGUGACAUGCACUGUUAUGGCCACCUGGGCAGUUUUGUGAAGUAAACCAAUUAAAGACAAUAAGGAUGUGAAAAA